CAUGGGGUUGCAAAGAGUCGGACACGACUGAGAGAUUGAACUGAACUGAACAAAAACUGACAUGCAAAAAUAAGGGAUGCUAAGCAGAGGCAAUAUGGGAUUCCAACCAUUUUUUGAUCCCCUUUGAAAAUUAUUAAAAUAAUCCCCAAAGCACUAAUACUCCUUGUCUGUUUCCCUCCUUUUUCUUCUCAUCCUCUUCUUCAACCUAUUUAUUUCUAUGUUUCCUUUGAGUGGAUUGUGGUGAAUGUAAUCUGUGUUGAUAGAAUUAGCUGUUCUCUAAGAUACUCCCUUUUCUCUUUGUUAUCUUCCCUGUAUUCUCCCGCCCAUCACUUUAAGUGAUUAAGUCUAAUCUCUUUUUGAUUUAAGAUUAAGUCAGAUCUCUUAAUUCCAACUGUGACCUACAGAAGAGGUUACAUUCCCAAGAAAAACAAGCUCUACCCCAUUAGCCACUCUUUAUUACACUUCUGAAAACCACUACUUGCCAGUUUCCCACCAAUAUUUGNNNNNNNNNNNNNNNNNNNNNUCACUAUACCUGAGACAGUAGUUUUAGUCAUUACGCAACACGGUGAUUCUGUUUACUUGCUUAUCAGAUGUUGUAUUUUUGGUGUUAUACUUUACCAAGGAGCCUUUAGGUCCUUGUCAAAAGGAAGGCUGAUGAUUUGUUUCAGCUGACUUCAUAGACAGGUGUCUUUCUGGACCUACAGAAUUCCAGCAUUGGCCAUAUAAUGCAAUAUGGAGUUAGAAUUCCUUUUGAGACAAAUCCCUUGAAUUUUAGACUCUUAUUGCUUAAGUUAAAAUCUUACCUCUGUUAUGUGGGCCAUUUUUUAAGAAACGUUUUAUCAGUUUUAGUUUUCCUAUUUGUAGAAUAAGGGUUACAUAAGUUAAUAAAUAUGACAUAUUUAGGGACACUAAGUAAGUACUCAUUGCUAUUAAUAAUAGCAAUAAUUUUAAUAAGUACAGAAAGAUAAGUAUGAAAGUCUGGAAGCAGGAAGGUACGAAUUAAAAUUCCUGGUUCUGCACACUUAGAUUUGUGACUUUGGGGCAGGUAUUUUUUGUUCACAUUUUUUCCUUAUUAAAAUUAAGGUGAAAAUCCACUUUUAGGGUAUGUGAGAACCAGAAAUUAUAAAAUAAUAUGGUUUAGAAUUAUGUCUAGCAUAAAAUAGAUAAAGAGGUAACUAUCAUAAUUAUUAUGGGAGAAAAUAAAUAAUCUGAAGAAAUCAGGUAGUAGACCAUUGAUAAUCCAUGCCUUUUCUGUAUUAUUUAUGAAAAUAUGCUUUAAAAUAUUGCUGUGAGGUGAUUACAUUUCCAUUACAAUUUCAUAGUCAUUUGUCUGCUUCCCUGUCAGCCCCACUAAUUGUUCAUUUCUUCAAUGAAGGGCACACUNNNAGGGUCUUAAUCAUCUUUGUAUUCUAGGUCUUAGCAAAAUAUCUGAUCCUCAAUAGAUUCUCAGUAACUGUUUGCUAAAUUAAAUUUAAUUCUCAUUGUGCUAUUACAACUAAGGAGCAUAACUAAUAGGAAAUAUUGGGAACUGUUAGGACAUAUUCAUAAGCACAGAAAGAAUUCCAAACUGGCUGUCCUCAAGAAAGAAAGCUAUUAUACUGAAAAGCUAGAAGGGAUCAGUUUAAAAUUCAUAUGAUCAAAAUUAUGUUUUUAGCACUUACACAUUAUUUGAGUCAUUAAAAAAGAUAGAUCAGACUUAAAAACUAGAAUAUUAAUUUUGAUUAGUUUUCUCUCUUCCUUAUGGCACCAAAAAAACUCUUAGUUAUUUUCCUUUUUUGGAAUUUCUUGCCUCUCUCCUUUUCUUGUUCCAUACCCACCAUCUUAGUCGUAGAUACAACCUCAACAUCAGCUCACUGACUCAGUGGCCAAAAUAUAGAACAGCAUUAAAUUUGAGACAGCUCACAUAACAUAAUAGAAAUGAUUUUUCCAUGUGUAUUUGAAAGCAU
ensembl:lncRNA